rnacentral:rRNA from 1 species
UACGGAGGAUCCGAGCGUUAUCCGGAUUUAUUGGGUUUAAAGGGUGCGCAGGCGGAAGAUUAAGUCGGUGGUGAAAUUUUGCAGCUUAACUGUAACAGUGCCGUUGAUACUGGGGAGCUAGGAUUUGGUUGCUGUGGGUGGAAUGUGUGGUGUAGCGGUGAAAUGCUUAGAGAUCACACAGAAUAUCGAUUGCGAAGGCAGCUCACAAAGCCAAGAUUGACGCUGAGGCACGAAAGUGUGGGGAUCAAACAGGAUUA